UACGUAGGGGGCAAGCGUUGUCCGGAUUUAUUGGGCGUAAAGAGCGUGUAGGCGGCCCGAUUAGUCCGCUGUGAAAGUCCAGGGCUCAACCCUGGAAUGCCGGUGGAUACUGUCGGGCUAGAGUCCGGAAGGGGCGAGUGGAAUUCCUGGUGUAGCGGUGAAAUGCGCAGAUAUCAGGAGGAACACCAAUGGCGAAGGCAGCUCGCUGGGACGUGACUGACGCUGAGACGCGAAAGCGUGGGGAGCGAACAGG
rnacentral:rRNA from 1 species